CACCGCGGUUAGACGGGAGGCUCAAGUUGACAGAUUACGGCGUAAAGCGUGGUUAUGGGUAAACACUACACUAAAGCUAAAGAGCCCCCGGGCAGUUAUACGCUUCCGGCCGCUCGAACCCCAACUACGAAAGUGGCUUUAACCCCUUCCACCUGAUCCCACGACAGCUGGGAAA
rnacentral:rRNA from 1 species